UAUAUUAAUAUACUGUUGACCUUUAUGUAUUAAUCUUAAAUAUUUUUUAUUUUUACAUUUAUGUGCAGCAUAAGUGAGAUUUGUCUAUAGGGUUUUUUUGAGGGGGUGCUAUUUCUGACAGGUUUUGAUAUUAGGUAUAUUCUGGCUUCGUAAACAAAUUGGGUAGUUUUCCAUCUUUUUCUAUGUUCCAGAACAGUUUCUACUUUCUAUUCAUUUUGACAGAUAAACACUGUAUAAUAGAGAUGACAAGGAAGAGAAUGCAAAUCGGCACAGAUUAUUUUGCCUCAGUAACUCCGCCACUUUUGUAGCUGCAGGACAGCCUUGAUUGUACAGGCGCAAUUUGGAGCAGUAGGAGGGUCAAACGGUCCAUUAUUUUGGUGUUGAAGAGUGUAGCUGGCUGGGCAGGCACAGAGUUAACAACCAACAGCCAAGAGCAGCCACCAGCUUGACAUCAGGAGGAAGAUGCCAGGAGCACAGAUGGUCCACAACCCAGAUAAUUAGCUUCCGAAGAAGAAACCACAUCUCAUAAGUCUUCUCUGAAUGUAGAGCUUGGUUGGGCACAGCUGGGGCAGAGAACAAGCAGGCCUCCUGAAAACUCUUCUUUACCUCUUAAAAUGUUGGUAGAGCACUCACCCACUUCCUGUGGACAACCACCUACUCAUAAGACCUGCAGGGAAGAAUUCCAAAUAAAUAUUGUUGACACUCCACCCUAAAGGAGGGUCAGCGGAACUCUCUACUCCUUAAGUGUGGGAUGCACAUGGUGACUUCCUCCCAAAGAGCACAGGAUGGGAGGGGGUGGGGAGAGUGUAAUUUUACAGUGGAGGAACCUGAUAAAUACUACUCUUGCCAGGUGAUAAAGGUCAACAUCAACAGUCAUAAAUUAUGUUGAUAGUAUGUACUAUUGAUAUAUUAUGAAAAUGAUACUUCACCUCUGUGAUCUUCCUCCCCAAACCCAUAAUCCCAGUCUAAUCAUGAGAAAACAAUCAGACAAACUAAAUUCCAACAGAGGGGCAUCCUAUAGUAUGCCUGACCAGUACUUCUCAAAACUAUCAAGGCCAUCAAAAACAAGGAACAACUGAGAAACUUGUCACAGCCCAGAGGAGCCUAAGGAGACAUGACAACUAUAUGUAACACAGUAUUCUGGAUUGGAUCUUGUAACAGAAAGAGGACAUUAGGUAAACACUAAGGAAAUCUGAAUAAACUACAGACUUUGAUAAUAAUAAUUUAUCAAUAUUGGUCCCUGAAUUAUAAUAAAUGUACCAUACAUGUGAAGAUCUUAAUAACAAAGAGAGCUCUGGGGAGGCACAUGGGAACUCACUGUACUAUCUGCUCAAUCAUUCUGUAAAUCUAAAACUGUU